GCUGGAUGUGGUGGUACACGCCUGUAAUCCCAACAACUUGGGAGGCUGAGGCAGGAGCAUUGCAAGUUUGAGACCAGUCUGGGCAAUUUAGUGAGACCCUGUCUCAA
rnacentral:sRNA from 1 species